UACGGAGGGUGCAAACGUUGCUCGGAAUCAUUGGGCGUAAAGCGCACGUAGGCGGCUCAGCAAGUCGGGUGUGAAAGCCCUCGGCUCAACCGAGGAAGUGCAUUCGAAACUACUGAGCUUGAAUACUGGAGAGGAUCGCGGAAUUCCCGGUGUAGAGGUGAAAUUCGUAGAUAUCGGGAGGAACAUCAGUGGCGAAGGCGGCGAUCUGGACAGAUAUUGACGCUGAGGUGCGAAAGCGUGGGGAGCAAACAGG
rnacentral:rRNA from 1 species